rnacentral:rRNA from 1 species
UGGGGAAUUUUGGACAAUGGGGGGAAACCCUGAUCCAGCCAUCCCGCGUGUGCGAUGAAGGCCUUCGGGUUGUAAAGCACUUUUGGCAGGAAAGAAACGUCGCGGGUUAAUACCCCGCGAAACUGACGGUAUCUGCAGAAUAAGCACCGGCUAACUACGUGCCAGCAGCCGCGGUAAUACGUAGGGUGCAAGCGUUAAUCGGAAUUACUGGGCGUAAAGCGUGCGCAGGCGGUUCGGCAAAGAAAGAUGUGAAAUCCCAGAGCUUAACUUUGGGAACUGCAUUUUUAACUACCGGGCUAGAGUGUGUCAGAGGGGAGGUGGAAUUCCGCGUGUAGCAGUGAAAUGCGUAGAUAUGCGGAGGAACACCGAUGGCGAAGGCAGCCUCCUGGGAUAACACUGACGCUCAUGCACGAAAGCGUGGGGAGCAAACAGGAUUAGAUACCCUGGUAGUCCACGCCCUAAACGAUGUCAACUAGCUGUUGGGGCCUUCGGGCCUUGGUAGCGCAGCUAACGCGUGAAGUUGACCGCCUGGGGAGUACGGUCGCAAGAUUAAAACUCAAAGGAAUUGACGGGGGUCAUAGCUG